GCCUGAUGCAGCGACGCCGCGUGAGGGAUGACGGCCUUCGGGUUGUAAACCUCUUUCAGUAGGGACGAAGCGCAAGUGACGGUACCUAUAGAAGAAGCACCGGCCAACUACGUGCCAGCAGCCGCGGUAAUACGUAGGGUGCGAGCGUUGUCCGGAAUUACUGGGCGUAAAGAGCUCGUAGGUGGUUUGUCGCGUUGUUCGUGAAAACUCACAGCUUAACUGUGGGCGUGCGGGCGAUACGGGCAGACUGGAGUACUGCAGGGGAGACUGGAAUUCCUGGUGUAGCGGUGGAAUGCGCAGAUAUCAGGAGGAACACCGGUGGCGAAGGCGGGUCUCUGGGCAGUAACUGACGCUGAGGAGCGAAAGCGUGGGGAGCGAACAGGAUUAGAUACCCUGGUAGUCCACGCCGUAAACGGUGGGUACUAGGUGUGGGUUUCCUUCCUUGGGAUCCGUGCCGUAGCUAACGCAUUAAGUACCCCGCCUGGGGAGUACGGCCGCAAGGCUAAAACUCAAAGGAAUUGACGGGGGCCCGCACAAGCGGCGGAGCAUGUGGAUUAAUUCGAUGCAACGCGAAGAACCUUACCUGGGUUUGACAUGCACAGGACGUGCCUAGAGAUAGGUAUUCCCUUGUGGCC
rnacentral:rRNA from 1 species